GCCUCCACCGGCGGACUCGUGAGCGCGCCGCUGCCGGGACCGCUCCUGGGCCUUAGAGAAGACGCGGAUAAGGGCCAAGGAAAGAGGGAGGUAGCGGUUGCUGAGCUCCUUCGGCGCUUCGGCUCCUGUAGCUCUGACUAUUCGGACCGUCAAGGUAGAAUAGGAGGCGGCCAGUUCCCCGCUCUAAGAAGUUGCCUGCGCUCUGAGAGACAGGUGCCGCUGUGUUGCCUAGGAUGAUCUCAAACCGCUAAGCUCAAGCAAUCCUCCUGCGUCGACUUUCCAAAGCGCUGGAAUUAUGGGCGUGAGCCACUGUGCCCAGACUCGUUCAAAACAAGCCAUGACUCCUCAGCAAAACAGCUCCAUCAAGCGUCUCGCCAACCUCUCCCUUGGGGCUCAGUCAAGGGAAUGAAAAAACGAGGCUAGACACCUGUCCCCAACGGAAAAACCAAGAACACACCUGGAGAGCAGCUCAGACAAAGGGAGCCAGGCGGGGAAAACAGUAAUUGGAGAGGAGACCGUGCUUCCAGUCUGUUGCUGGUUUACAAGGUAAAUCUAUUCCUGGACGAAAGGGGUACAGGAACAGCACCCGAAAACCGGCGACAGGCUGUGGCAGGCCCGACGUCUUUCAAGCCCAGCUCCUAGCGUCGACGCCCCUCCUUCCAAGACGUUUCCCAGCAGGCCCUGCGCCCAGUUUGGAUCAAGACAAUCUAUGCAGGAAGAAUGAAUGGGUGAUGCUGGCAUCUUGAAAAGUUGAAGCUGAUAGACUGAAGAAUGCGGAUUACAUACCCUGAGGCUGCAGAGGAUUUUUUCUCAGGCAGCCAAGAAGAUGGUGGAUUGAGACUGAGCAUGCCUACCACAAGCAGCUGACCAUCAUUCAAAGCAAGAAGAGGGUACUGCUAAAGGAAACUGGCAAGAAGCAGCUCCUAUGGUACUUACAAGAACAUCGGUCUAGGCUUCAAGAGGUCCAAAGAGACUAUUGAGGGCACCUACAUUGACAAGGAAUGCCUGUUCACUGGUAACGUCUCCAUCUGAGGGCAGAUCCUGUAUGGCAUGGUGACCAAGAUGGAGAUGCAGAGGACCACUGUCAUCCAGAGAAACUAUCUCCACUACAUCCGCAAGUACAAUUGCUUCGAGAAGUACCACAAGAACUUGUCCAUGCACCUGUUCCUCUGCUUCAGGAUGUCCAGAUCAGCGACAUUGUCACGUUGGAUAAGUGCCAGUCCCUGAACAAGACGGUGUACUUCAAUGUGCUCAAGGUCACCAAGGUCGCAGACAUCAAGAAGCAAUUCCAGAAGUUCUGAGGCUGAAUGUCUGCCUGCUCCCCAAAAUGAAAUAAAGUUAUUUUCUCAUUCAUACACACAAAAAA
rnacentral:lncRNA from 1 species